rnacentral:rRNA from 1 species
CCUAAGACAUGCAAGUCGAACGAAGUGGCCCAUUGAAGAUGGAGUGCUUGCACAAAGUCAGAUUUGGUUUACCACUUAGUGGCAGACGGGUGAGUAACACGUGGGUAACCUACCUCAAAGACUGGGACAACAGUUGGAAACGACUGCUAAUACCGGAUAAUCCAUAUUUAGAUAACUAGAUAUGUUAAAAGAAGCGUUUGCUUCACUUUGAGAUGGGCUUGCGGCGCAUUAGAUAGUUGGUGGGGUAAUGGCCUACCAAGUCGACGAUGCGUAUCCGAGCUGAGAGGCUGAUCGGACACACUGGGACUGAGACACGGCCCAGACUCCUACGGGAGACAGCAGUUAGGAAUAUUCGUCAAUGGGGGAAACCCUGAACGAGCAAUGCCGCGUGAAGGAUGACGGUCCUAUGGAUUGUAAACUUCUGUUGUUAGGGAAGAACGACCUGUGUAGGAAAUGACACAGGAGUGACGGUACCUUUCAAGAAAGCUCCGGCUAACUACGUG